rnacentral:lncRNA from 1 species
CGAGAGAGAACCGGGUUCGUCGCGAAUCCGCGACCGAUCGAGGCGAAACAAAAUGGUGGGUUCGUUGUCUCCGUUGUGCUGAUCGCACUGGCGUGAUCUGUUCGCAAAUCUGACGGACGGAUCUGCGGAUAUCGCGGGUUGUCGAGGAGGGGUCGGUGAUGGCAAAACGGUAAUUUCGCAAAAAGUGCGACAUUUUAUGUGCCGUUUCGUGUGAAAUCGAAGGUGGAGGUGUAUUCGGG